rnacentral:rRNA from 1 species
GAUGAACGCUGGCGGCGUGCCUAACACAUGCAAGUCGAGCGAUUCUCUUCGGAGAAGAGCGGCGGACGGGUGAGUAACGCGUGGGUAACCUGCCCUGUACACACGGAUAACAUACCGAAAGGUAUGCUAAUACGAGAUGAUAUAUUUUUAUCGCAUGAUAAAAAUAUCAAAGCUUUUGCGGUACAGGAUGGACCCGCGUCUGAUUAGCUAGUUGGUAAGGUAACGGCUUACCAAGGCGACGAUCAGUAGCCGACCUGAGAGGGUGAUCGGCCACACUGGAACUGAGACACGGUCCAGACUCCUACGGGAGGCAGCAGUGGGGAAUAUUGCACAAUGGGCGAAAGCCUGAUGCAGCAACGCCGCGUGAGCGAUGAAGGCCUUCGGGUCGUAAAGCUCUGUCCUCAAGGAAGAUAAUGACGGUACUUGAGGAGGAAGCCCCGGCUAACUACGUGCCAGCAGCCGCGUAAUGAGUAGUACA